rnacentral:rRNA from 1 species
AAUCAACGCUGGCGGCGUGCCUAACACAUGCAAGUCGAACGAGAAAGUGGAGCAAUCCAUGAGUACAGUGGCGACCGGGUGAGUAACACGUGACUAACCUACCCUCGAGUGGGGGAUAACUCCGGGAAACCGGGGCUAAUACCGCAUAACACCGCGAGGUGAAAUUCCCUGUGAUCAAAGGAGCAAUUCGCUUGAGGAGAGAGUCGCGUCUGAUUAGCUAGUUGGUGAGGUAACGGCCCACCAAGGCAAUGAUCAGUAGCCGGCCUGAGAGGGCGCACGGCCACACUGGAACUGAAACACGGUCCAGACUCCUACGGGAGGCAGCAGUGGGGAAUUUUGCGCAAUGGGGGAAACCCUGACGCAGCAACGCCGCGUGGAGGAUGAAGUCCUUUGGGAUGUAAACUCCUUUCGACCGGGACGAUUAUGACGGUACCGGAGGAAGAAGCACCGGCUAACUCUGUGCCAGCCGCCGCUGUAAAAC